rnacentral:misc_RNA from 1 species
GAUGAAGAACGAGCGAAAUGCGAUAAGUAGUGUGAAUUGCAGAAUUCAGUGAAUCAUCGAAUCUUUGAACGCACAUUGCGCCCCUUGGUAUUCCAUGGGGCAUGCCUGUUCGAGCGUCAUUUGUACCUUCAAGCUCUGCUUGGUGUUGGGUGUUUGUCUCGCCUCUGCGUGUAGACUCGCCUCAAAACAAUUGGCAGCCGGCGUAUUGAUUUCGGAGCGCAGUACAUCUCGCGCUUUGCACUCAUAACGACGACGUCCAAAAGUACAUUUUUACACUCUUGACCUCGGAUCAGGUAGGGAUACCCGCUGAACUUAAGCAUAUCAAUAAGCGGAGGA